ACUGGUCCCAAAUUGGGACUGUACUGCCAGCUCAUGGCACUUGGUGAGUAUGAGUAAAGUUACUAAUAUACAAAAAUAAUUGUUUUGCGAACUGUUGGCAGAGGGAAUGGUGGGGUUAGCACUGAUGAUGAGGAUGUGCUAGAAUUAAAACCUGAUAACAGUUUGGCAAUGAGUGUAAAGCCAGAGACUGGUUGCAACCAGAUAUCUGCUUGCAAAUGCCAAAGGUUUGACAAG